rnacentral:rRNA from 1 species
GACGAACGCUGGCGGCGUGCUUAACACAUGCAAGUCGAACGGAAAGGCCCUGCUUUUGUGGGGUGCUCGAGUGGCGAACGGGUGAGUAACACGUGAGUAACCUGCCCUUGACUUUGGGAUAACUUCAGGAAACUGGGGCUAAUACCGGAUAGGAGCUCCUGCUGCAUGGUGGGGGUUGGAAAGUUUCGGCGGUUGGGGAUGGACUCGCGGCUUAUCAGCUUGUUGGUGGGGUAGUGGCUUACCAAGGCUUUGACGGGUAGCCGGCCUGAGAGGGUGACCGGCCACAUUGGGACUGAGAUACGGCCCAGACUCCUACGGGAGGCAGCAGUGGGGAAUAUUGCAGAAUGGGCGGAAGCCUGAUGCAGCAACGCCGCGUGCCGGAUGACGGCCUUCGGGUUGUAAACCGCUUUCGCCUGUGACGAAGCGUGCGUGACGGUAAUGGGUAAAGAAGCACCGGCUAACUACGUG